AAUAAUUGUCCUUCAACAAUUGUGUUGUUCGUCAGAAGGUUUUUGUGGGACCAUACAGAUCACUCCAAUCAAGUAAGAACGUCCUUCCAUUGUUCACCUCAACUCGAGAAAAGAGCCACAUUUCCGCUUGAGUUGUUCACUCUUCGUACGGUUUUUUGCUGAGAGCCGCUAAAAAACAUAAGACGAAGAAAACGAAAGACAUUGGAUGAAAAUGGCUCCCUCGAACGCCACCAUCGAUACAACUGCUGUCGUGAUGAAGAUUAUGGAGAGAGAACGCUUCACACUGAAUGGUUAUCUUUUCUUGUUUAUCGUAAGCGCAGUCUCGGUCGCUAUCUUCUGCGUGGUGAAUUUUCUUUGCUGUAGAGAUAGCCGACGCGAGGAAAAGCUGUUUGCUAUCAACCACCCCGAGGAACAUCGCCAGACGAUGGAGGAUCUUGGACUCAUGUAACAUUUUCGCGCCAAAACUUGGACGUCUUUGUAAAUACCGAAUCCAGCUGUCAAGCAGUGUGUAGAUGACCUGUUUUUUUCCUGUGCUUCUACGUGUUCUUCUAAUGCUUCCAGGACAACAAUUAGAUAUGCAGGCGCCAACUCCGGUAGAAAUACCCUAACUAGAAGAGCCAAAAAUGCUCUAGAGGUAGUAUUAAAAAAAGGCAAAGGCUUAUCUUAUCUUUCAUAUUUCUAGAGACUUACACGUACAAAAUCUUAGAAUCUUAUAGAUACGAAAGAAAAGUAGAGUUAGCUGGUGAAAGAAUUACAAGCUGUGCUUUGGUCUGUAGAGAAGAAAAUCAGUCCCUACACUAAAAUAUGUUGCGUAGGAUCAGAUUAUCUAAUGUCAAGGGGGGGGGGGGGGGGUAUUGUAUUCUAUAAGAUUGGACAGUGCCAGUCCUAGAAGGUCUGCUUCCAAACUACCUCCACCCUGUUCGUAUGGCUUUAGAUAUAAUUUACUCUCUAUCACAAUUUCAUAUCGGGUAUACUUAAUGUAAACAUUUCAAAGAUUGAAAGAUAAGAUAAAGGAUAUUACGAAACAUACAUGGUGUUUAGUUCAUAGAUAAAAGGGGCUUACCAUAUGUAAGCUCUAAACCUUAGCCCACAGUUUUACUUUAAAUAAGUUUGCACUCGGAGAAUCUGUGUCGUAACCCGCAGUGCAUCAUCGGUAUUAAAUAAAUAAUAGAAUAAGCGUUAAUAAACAAACACAGGCUUAGAAAGCUUUAGCAUUCUUGUUUAUGUACCUCUAAAUUUUCACAUGGCGUUCAGAGACCAGCAUUUUUACGUUAACCAUGAAUUACCGCGGGUUAGGAUACAUUGAUUCGUAGGUGCAACAUUGAUUGAAAUAAGUAAACUAAAAAACUAACAACAAAACUAAAAAAUAGAUGAUGGAAAUUUAAAAAUUUCAGAAAUAUGCCCGGCCCUGGAUUAUGUGUAAUAACUUACUGCCAAA